rnacentral:ncRNA from 2 species
CAAUGCAGCGCGGGAGAGAUCGUCAUGAAGUCAGUGACGACGCCGACGGAGCAACCGCCCCGGAAACUCUCAGGCAAAAGGACCGCGCAGCUGGA